CUGGCUUCCAAGCCAACUGGCAGUCUGAACUGAUAAGCCAAUCAGGGUAUGAGACUGAGGCUGGUGUUCUCAUCCGCUCCUCAGAGAAACUGAAGGUGAUGGUCAAGAAGAGUAGAUAACGUUGAGUUUUUCCAAGACUGUCUUUAGGAAAGAACACUGGAGCCAAAACACAGUCUGGUGGCAACAAGUUCCUUAAAUCAUAGCAUGGUGGAGGAAGUACAGAGCCCAGAUUGACAAGGCUGCCCCUUCCUCCCACCGCAGAGGGUACUAUCUGUCCUUCUUCACAUCUAAGGCUGGGAGAAAGAAGAUCUCUGUGCUCUGAGAACUCUUGACCUGAUAGGGGAGAUGCAGCCUCUGUCCCUAGGGAACUCCCAGUCCGAUGGAGGAGGCACUCCCUGCUGCUAGGGAACUCCCACUCGUGAGGGAAACACAGCCUCUGCCUCUGCCGCCUGGAGGCUCCCAGUCUGAUGGGUGAGACAGUGCUUGCAAGUGAUGGGGGAACUCAAAGUUCAGCUCUGAUCCCCGCCUCUGCCCCAGCUCUCAGCACUUCCUCCAAGGUGUCCUUCCGUAGCCAGCUGGAGCUGGCCAUGCAGCUGUGAUGGACACAGGUGGCUUGGCACUUGUCCUUGUCCUUGCUCCACUGAGCCUGAGGUUGGGCUGGCUCUGGAGAUGAAUGGAGGGCUCUCAUGCCAGGGAGAUGAGCUAUGGGUUAGAACAUCCCCAAACAACAUAGCCCAGCUCCAAAGCUCUGUUCAGCACCCAUGAUUUGCCAGCUUGGAUCCAGGGAAAGGAUUUUUCUUUGGGCAAGUAUUGGACAGGAUGGGGUUAAGAUGGCAAGAAUCUGAGAAUACUCAGGUUGCUGAGAGCCAAGGCCACCUCUCACCCCACAGAGAGGAAGGGACAAAGAAAGAAGUCCUGUAGGCACUGAGGACUCCACAUCUGUGAAGCCACUUCCAUUCACUCCAGUUAACAACCAGCCCAGCAAAGGAGGUCUCUGCAGCCAUGGAGCACGUUUGCAGCCUCGUUAGUGGAUGUGGAGUGGACUCUCUAGCUGGAAAGCAUGGGUGUCACAUUCUGCCUGAGAAGGGUUUCAGCAACCUGGAAAUCACCUAUUCCAGAGACUGUAUCUAUAAAAUGCAGCCUGGAUCCCUGAGUCACUGCUUGGAAGAGAACUUCUUUGGAGAGCCAAUGGACCCAGAACAGACUUUUCAGGAACCAAAAAUAAACCUUUGUGUAUUAAACCACUGAAAUCUCUGAGACAGUUUGUUACUGCAGCAUAACCUCACUUAACCUGACUAAUACACCAUGUGCUCCAGACCUACUAGUUGGGAUGGAGU